rnacentral:rRNA from 1 species
CAAACUUGAGAGUUUGAUCCUGGCUCAGAACGAACGCUGGCGGCAUGCCUAACACAUGCAAGUCGAACGAGCCCUUCGGGGUUAGUGGCGCACGGGUGCGUAACGCGUGGGAAUCUGCCCUUGGGUUCGGAAUAACUCGCCGAAAGGCGUGCUAAUACCGGAUGAUGUCGAAAGACCAAAGAUUUAUCGCCCAAGGAUGAGCCCGCGUAAGAUUAGGUAGUUGGUGA